AACUCUGUAUUUUAGGUAUAAAUUUGCCAGUCACAAUUUUAUUUAAUUUAACAUUAUUCUAAAUCCCAGUCUUUAUAGCAUAGAAAGAAAAAUGUCCAAACUGACAUGAGGUACUAUUUGUAGGAAUCUUGAAGCAGUAAAAUAGAAGUUAAUAUUUUACUUAAACAAAUAGAAUAAUCAAUUCCUACUCCAUUUCUUGUUCGUCCACUCCAGAAAGAACUGAAUCAGUCUCCUUGCUGAAUAAGAAAGAAGGUUCUUUCUUUGUGUCUUCAGGAGUUCACCCGAUUUGGGACUUCCUGAGUCGAGUCCAAGGACCAUACUCCGAAAGGAGCUAUUUGGUCAUUAGCCAUCUCUCCACUAAUUAAAACUCUUUGCAGAAGAAUGCAUGCCCACCUCUCACAACAGCUUCUCCAGCCCCUCACUGGAACCUCUUCACUUCUGACCAUCUUGAGCUCCUCUCCUUCCCAGGUGUAACUGAAUUAUCCGAGGACUUGGACGUUGCCAUCAUAUCUAGCAGAUUUACCUGGGGCUCCAUGUCUCCUAUAUCCAUCUGCCCAUGUCUUAUAAUAUCAACCAGAAAGGUGUGGCACUGAAGAAUUUUGCCAAAUAUUUUCUACAGUGAUCCCAUGAAGAGAAGGAAUAUUCUGAGUCAUUGAUGAAACAUCAAACUAAAGAGGCAGCCCGAUUUUCCUUUGGAACAUGAAGGUUAGGAAAGUGGACUGAAUGAGAUGGAAUAUAGUCCAAAAAAUUCCAAGCAAUAAUUACUGGAAUUGUACAAUUUCACAACUGACAAAAUGAUGUUCAUUUGUGUGAUUUCAUUUUCCUAGUUGAACAAGUAAAAUCCACCAAAAAAAUUGGAUUAUCAAGUAUCCAACCUGCACAAAAUGGGGACCUUUGAUUGUGGCAUCUUUUUUAAACAAAUAUACUGUUGGAGAUAGUGACAAAUACAGAUGAGAAUCAAUCUGGCUUCAGGACAACUUUGA